rnacentral:tRNA from 1 species
UCACAUUUCGUCCAAUUGGUAGGACGUUUGCUUUGGGAGCAAGUUGUGCGGGUUCGAUUCCCGUAAUGUAAA